rnacentral:rRNA from 1 species
CCUACGGGAGGCAGCAGUAAGGAAUAUUGGUCAAUGGACGAAAGUCUGAACCAGCCAUGCCGCGUGAAGGAUGAAGGUCCUCUGGAUUGUAAACUUCUUUUAUCUGGGACGAAAAAAGGGCUUUCUAGCUCACUUGACGGUACCAGAGGAAUAAGCACCGGCUAACUCCGUGCCAGCAGCCGCGGUAAUACGGAGGGUGCAAGCGUUAUCCGGAUUUACUGGGUUUAAAGGGAGCGUAGGUGGGCAGGUAAGUCAGUGGUGAAAUCUCUGGGCUUAACCCGGAAACUGCCAUUGAUACUAUCUGUCUUGAAUAUCCUGGAGGUAAGCGGAAUAUGUCAUGUAGCGGUGAAAUGCUUAGAUAUGACAUAGAACACCCAUUGCGAAGGCAGCUUACUACGGGAUUAUUGACACUGAGGCUCGAAAGCGUGGGGAUCAAACAGGAUUAGAUACCCUGGUAGUCCACGCCCUAAACCGAUGGAUACUCGACAUCAGCGAUACACUGUUGGUGUCUGNGNGAAGANAUAUAUCCACCNGGAGUACGACCGCGAGUAGACGACAANAGAUAGAGNGNGAGAGNGCGACGACGACGACGAGGGAGGAGG